UUUUUCUUUCUUUCUUUCUUUUUUUUUUUUUUAAGACAGAGUCUCACUCUGUCACCCAGGCUGGAGUGCAGUGGUGUGAACUCGGCUCCCUGCAACCUCUGCAUCCCAGGUUCAAGCGAUUCUCCUGCUUCAGCCUCCUGAGUAGCUGGGCUUACAGGUGCAUGCCACCACACCUGGCUAAUUUUUUCACAUUUUUGGUAGAGACAAGAUUUCACCAUGUUUGCCAGGCUGAUCUCGAACUCUUGACCCCAAGUGAUCCAACUGCCUCGGCCUUCCAAAGUGCUGGGAUUACAGGUGUGAGCCACCAUGCCCAGCCCUUACCAUGCUUUACAAGUAUCAUUAAAUAAUUUUUUCCUUUAACACUGCCUGCUUGCAAUAUGUGAUUAAUGAACAUUACAUACUUUGCAAAGUGUUUGGCACAUAAUAAGUGUUUAAUAAAUGUGACACAUAAGAGAUGGAGGGAGAGAAAAGAGGGUGACAGGUAGGCACACAAGGGCAAGGCAUAUUCACAAACACAUUGCAAAUAAUCCUGGUAGCAGACCUGUCAGGUACUUACUAUUAACCUGCUUUAUAAAUAAAGAAACUGAGAUUCAGGGAGGUGCAGGGGCUUUGAGAAGGUUUCCCAGCUAGAAGCUUGGCAGGUGCAGGAUUGGAAUGCAGGUCUCUGAGUCCAACGUCCGUGCUCUCUGAUAUGGCUCCAUUGUCCCUUUUCUCUCUCAACCCUAUGCACACCUUAUGUUCUUUUUAUUCCUGAAAUGUCUAGGAAAACAAAAGGGAUCAUUCUCUUCCCUGAAAGGCUGAUACAGAUGUGAGUUUUGGAGGGGUCAGGGGUUGGCUACUCUUGCUCGCGGUAUCUGCGUGGAGAUCACCCACAGGUGUGAGGCUUUUGAUACUUCAAAAAUCCAAUCUCUGCUGGAAUUUUGCAACCUGCAGGUGGCUUGCUCUGCAGGGUCCUGGCUCCCUCACUGCUGCCUAGAACACUUGAAGGAGUGGAGAUCCCAGGUCCUUAGAUCAAGGCAAAGAGUUCGAUACGGCUUGGUAGAAAAGAGAAAGCUGUAUUUUGUGCUGUGGCUGGAAGAAUCUCCCCAGAGUCAAUGGAUGCAGUGCUGCCAGUUCCCAGAGUUGGAAUUUCUUUACAAUAAAGCUGCUGACAGUAGCAAUACUGGUGCUAUUGUCUAGCCAGGUGGAGGUUUUUCCAUGUAACAUCAACAGAAAGCAAAGCUGUAUCAAAUAGGGCCAAAUUCAAGAAGAUGCCAGUGAAGCACUAGGGCACAGCCUUGAUCACAAACCCCAAAGGAAUACUACUUUAAAUUUUAAAACUGCUCAAUUAAUAUGAAUAAGUGAGGUGGUUUGUGUUUGCUUAGUACAAUGCAAAUCACUGAGGAUGUUUGCAGGAAACCUGUUCUCCUUGAUAACUCCUGCUGUCUCUGCAACACCUGCAAAGAUCUUUCCCUGCUAGAGGAGAAACAAGUGGCCUAGAAGAAAAGAGUUCCUCUUUUCCCAACUAUCUGGGACACUUUAAAUAAUGUUGUUUCAAAAUGACAAGAAUGGCGACAUGUUUAUAUCUGCUGUUCCUUUUUGGGUUGGCCUCAUGAGGCAGUUCUUACUGUCAAAUCUUCCACAGCAGGAUGUGUGCACAGAAGAUUACUGCAGGCACUACCCAGAGGAUUAAAAAAAUACAUAUUACAUAUCAUAGGAAAACAGGACAGCUCUUCUAUGUUCUCCGUAGAGGGUCAGAAAUAGGAUGUGUUAUACACCUAGGUUUAUGUCUGCACAGUUUAUGUCCUGCAGCAUGCUGAUUUGAAUAUAUUUAAAGGAAACAAGAAGGAGUUAUGUGGUGGGAGAAAGGUAAAGAAAUAAAAUUAAGUGACAGGUGUAUAUUAGUUUGCUAGGGCUGCAGUAAUAAGGAACCAUGAAUUGAGUGGCUUAAAACAUCAGAAAUGUAUUGUCUCAUGGUUCUGGAGGCUAGAAGUUCAAGAUCAAGUUGCCGGCAGGGUUGGGCCCUUCUAAAGACUGGGAGCGACACUGUUUCAUGCCUCUCCCCUAGCUUCUGAUGGGUAGCUGGCAAUCUUGGCAUCUUCUGGCUUGUAGACACAUUAUCCUGAUCUCUGCUAUUAUCUUCACAUGAAGUUCUCAUGAUGUUCUCCCUGUGUGUCUAUCUGUGUGUCCAAAUUUCACCUAUUUAUGAGGACACCAGUCAUAGUGAAGUCACUAUGACCUCGUCUUAACUCAUUAAAUUUGCAAUGUUCUAUUUCCAAAUAAGGUCACAUUCUGAGGUACAGGGAGUUAGGACUUCAACAUAUGAAUGAGGACUGGGGGGUAGCACAAUGCAACCCAUGCCACAGGUGCUUUAUUCAUGUUAGCUCAUUUAAUCUACAAAACAAUUCCAUAAGAAAGAAGACCAUGUUUCUCUUCUUAGUGAUAAAGAAGUGGAAGCUCAGUAAGAACUCUAAAGCGCAUGGCCAUGGAAAAGGACACUAGUAAUAAGUUACGGAAACUACUCAGUCCAGUAUCUGGGCAGAAUCACUAUUCCAUAUAAGUUUUUCCGGGAUGAAAAAAAGGAAAGAAAAAUAAAGGCUACCCUGCAAGAGCCCCCUUUGUUAACACACACUGUUUGCAUCCUGGCUCAAGUGUGAAUCCUCCUACCAAGCUGUAAAUCUUCACUCCUGCUUUUCUACAGAAUCCAAGAACAACUUUGUUUGCAAACUUGCUUUGGAAAUGAGAGUGAGGUAAGUUUUCCAGUGUCUGACAGCUAGGAAGUACCAGGACACUGUAUCUCAAAGACUCCAAGUUGAGACCUUUCCUGUGUGCCACAAUGCCGGAACAAACUCCCUCCCCGAGUACGAGAUUCCAGAAGCAGAACCGUGGACAAUUUUUAAACUCAGAAAGCCUCCUGUGGAGUUGGGACUCACAGCUCACAGCCACGAAAUCACUGUCCAUUAACUGUUUGGUUUCCUGAGAGCAGAGAUUAGGGAUCCUCAGUCUUGCCUGUAUAUCAAUACCACCUGGGACCACUCAGACCAGGUGAAUCAAUGUCCCUGCAGGUUGGGCCCAGGUAAUGGUUUAUUACGUGUUCUAUGUAAGUUUAGGGUAUAACCAAGUGGUUAGAAUUACUAACUAAAUCAAACCUCUUUACUGACCAAUUACAUUAGAAUGUAAAUUCUC